rnacentral:lncRNA from 1 species
CUUUCACUAUCAGCUCUUAAAGAAAGCAUAUGAGGAAUCAAACUCAGUUGUUCAUCGUAUGAACAAGAUUUCUAAGCAGGAGAACUGACAGCUGAAUGCAGACAGUGCCCUUCUUGUCUUGGCAGAAAUGUUGUCAACAACGUGAUGCAGUGGAUCUGUGUACCCUUAGAGAGGAUUCCUUUGCCCAAAUAAGAACAACUAAAAGCCAGGCAUGACUGCUCUGGGUUCCCUUUGCAGCCCUGAUUUAUUGCAUCCUAAGAUCCUUCAGACCUACCAUCAAGUCGCCAGCCCCAAAACACUCUCUGUGGAAAC